rnacentral:rRNA from 1 species
AGUGGCGGACGGGUGAGUAACGCGUGGGCAACCAACCCUGUACAGGGGGAUAACACCGGGAAACCGGUGCUAAUACCGCAUAAAGCCGGUAAAGCGCAUGCUUUAUUGGUGAAAACCGAGGUGGUACAGGACGGGCCCGCGUCCCAUUAGCUAGUUGGUGAGAUAACAGCCCACCAAGGCGACGAUGGGUAGCCGACCUGAGAGGGUGACCGGCCACACUGGGACUGAGACACGGCCCAGACUCCUACGGGAGGCAGCAGUGGGGAAUAUUGCGCAAUGGGGGAAACCCUGACGCAGCGACGCCGCGUGAGCGAAGAAGGCCUUCGGGUCGUAAAGCUCUGUUCUGGGGGACGAAAAGAUGACGGUACCCCAGGAGAAAGCCCCGGCUAACUACGUGCCAGCAGCCGCGGUAAUAC